AUGUGUCUGCAGAGUCAAGCACCUAUACCAGCGCUGAUGGUACUUCCACAGAUCCCUCAGAUCUGGAGGCCACCAAAGGGUUCACCUCCUCCAGUUCUGUGGGUGUUUACUCCCCUGAAGAGAGUGAGAUGGCUGACCCUCAGGCUGCAGCCAUUCUUGAAGAUGCAGCUGGUGAUCAGACUGUCCCUGAAGACUGCGUCCUCGGAGUGCUAGCCAGUAUGACAGCCCGGUCAAACAGUCUGCCCCAGGCUGAAAUACUGGAACACACAGAGUGCAGUUCUGA